CUUCGGCCAUGUUGUGUGCGGUGACGCUUUUUGAUGUCUCUUUAGGAGUUGAUACUGCCUGGUUUGCUGAGUUCCUCCGGCAUUUUCUGUGUGUUGCUUGGGUUUCCAGCAUCUGCAGAUUAUCUCUUGUUUGUGUCUGAGAAAAUGCUUAUGGGUUCAUUGUUCAUUCAGAAAUCUGAUGGCGGAGGGAAAGAAACUGUUCCUGAAAUGAUGAGAACACAACAUUAUCCAAAAAUCAGAGUUUUAAUUACACUACAGAUUCUGCAGAUGAUGGAAAUCUUGAGCAACAUACACAAAACGCUGGAGGAACUUAACAAGUCAGGCAGAAUCUGUGGAGGGAAGUAAACAGCCAACAUUUCGGGCUGAAAACUUUAAGGUGUUUUAUGAAGUGUCUGGUUAUUCUGAGAAAAUGCAGCUAUGGAAUGCUACUUCCAAUAGGAACUGUUACAUUAACAUUGUUUGUGUAAAGGUGAGCCAGUAAAACCUGCUUCUGAUUUGAUGAAUAUUUAUUUGUACACAUUUAAAUUUUAUAUCCAUUUGGUUGACACCAUAUGUAUUCAAAUUUCAAAGUUUUUAAGAAGGAGUAAUUGAAAGAUAGAAAUAAAAUACUUUUAUUCCCUAAGAUACAUGUGAGGCAGUUACCUUCCACUGUGAUGCAGAGGUUGUAU